UUUUAUCUUUCCUACCUUUCUUUUUUUCUUUUUGGUUUUUCGAGACAGGGUUUCUCUGUGUAGCCCUGGCUGUCCUGGAACUUACUCUGUAGACCAGGGUGGCCUUGAACUCAGAAAUCCGCCUGCCUCUGCCUCCCGAGUGCUGGGAUUAAAGGUGUGUGCCACCAUGACUGGUACCUCUCCUACCUUUCUAAAGUAUAGGAUUUGGAGAACAUUUGACAAUGUGCCUAAGGCAGGAAAACUAUCUUGCUCCUAAGUUGAAGACUAACAUUUCAUAUUGCUUAGAUUAAGUUCAAAUCUGUAGUGUGACUAUCUAGGAAUCUCAGUGUGUAUGUAGAUAACUCUGUAUUUAAGUACAUAAUUCUCCAGUAGAUAUGGUCUCCACUGAAGCCAUCAUCUUGUGGAAAUCUAUUUUGCAAGUGACAAAAAUAUGUGAUUUAUUUUUUAAAAGGUGAAAUGUAUAUUAUUUCUAAGUUAUGCAUAAUGUUUUUGUCUAUGUGGUGGCUAUUUUACUUGUCAACUUGGAAACAUCUGGAAUUUAAAAAGCCAACUCUCUGGGCACACCGUGAGGGAUAAUUCAAUUCAUUGAGGUAGGAAUACUUACCUUAAAUCUAGAUCAUUUGAGGUGAGAAGACCCAUGUAGUGAAAAUUUUGGUUUCUUUAAAAAAAAAAAAAGGCAGAAAUACUUUAAGAAUAUAUUUUUGUUUAAAAUUCAGGUGUGGGGACAUGGGGCUGCUUCAGAUUGUCUGCAGAAGCUGACUGUGAUUUGCCUAAUGAUCUAGCAAGGGCGUAUUUUUUCCACUGGCAGAUAGUUUCUGUGACUGUGUGGUGUUUGGAAUUCUGGGGGACUUUUCAGAGGGUAUAUAAAUGCUAGGUCCCCAAGAGGUGAGGUGGGUUGUUGGUUAUUGGUUGGUUGCUUUUGGUUGCUCUUGGCCAUUGUUUCUUAAGUAGUCAUGUGCAAAGAAGAAACAACAAUAAGAAAUUAGGUGUCCUGACAGAGAAGAUCAAACUUGCUCCAAAGAACUCAAACUUCCUAAUCAGCAGGACAAAGUCUAACAAUAAUAUCAUCUCCUCUACUCUCUAUUCUUGUUUUCAUCUUCUAUCUAGUGUUAGGGAGAUGAAAGGAAGGAAAACGUGUGGAAGAAAAAAAGAACCCACAAAGUAGUAAAAGACAGGAUACAGACCUACCCUAAGUCUGGGUCACACCUCAUGACAGCCUAUAUAAAGGAUAAGGAAGAGAGAAGCAUCUUCUCUUUGCCUGCUUGCUCCCACUCUCUCUCGAAAGUCCAUUCCUUCACUAGCAUUAGAGUCUACCUCAUCUGGUUUCCCAUGUGUACUGAAGACCAGCUAAGACACCCACCCUCGAGGAGUGAAGAACUGCUGGAUUCUUAGACCUUCCGUUGGCAAGUAGACAGCCAUUGUUGGACCACACGCUGUAAGCCACUCUAAUAAAUCCCCCUUUCAUGGAUUCAUUCUAUCAGUUCUAUUUCUCUAGAGAACCUUGAUUAAUACAGUCUAUAGUGUCUC
rnacentral:lncRNA from 1 species